rnacentral:miRNA from 1 species
AUUGGGCUGUCCAAAAAGUUCGUUCAGGUUUUUGGUACAAUGCUGCCAAAAACCCAAAAGAACUUCUUGGCCAACCCAAU